CCAGCGGUUAGGCCGGGAACUCAAAGGAGACUGCCAGUGAUAAACUGGAGGAAGGUGGGGAUGACGUCAAGUCAUCAUGGCCCUUACGACCAGGGCUACACACGUGCUACAAUGGCGCAUACAAAGAGAAGCGACCUCGCGAGAGCAAGCGGACCUCAUAAAGUGCGUCGUAGUCCGGAUUGGAGUCUGCAACUCGACUCCAUGAAGUCGGAAUCGCUAGUAAUCGUGGAUCAGAAUGCCACGGUGAAUACGUUCCCGGGCCUUGUACACACCGCCCGUCACACCAUGGGAGUGGGUUGCAAAAGAAGUAGGUAGCUUAACCUUCGGGAGGGCGCUUACCACUUUGUGAUUCAUGACUGGGGUGAAGUCGUAACAAGGUAACCGUAGGGGAACCUGCGGUUGGAUCACCUCCUUACCUUAAAGAAGC
rnacentral:rRNA from 1 species